GCGAGACAAGUCGAUUUUUAACAAACUGGUGAUUGCUCUUGCUAGCAAAGGUGGCCAAUCGCUUAGAGAAUUGUAGAAAGGGCUAUCAACACAUUAUUAACCAACGACCUACAACGAAAGUUUAACUGGAGUGGAACAGUUGGGCAGACUCGAGUUGAAGAAAACAUUUUUACUAAAAGAGCUUUUCGCAAACUUAGUUGUUGUUUAGCGCUGCAGAGAGAAAUCAGUAAAAAUACACCAACCAAAUCAGUAACCGAAAGCGAGUUUCAAGUUGAAGUCAUGCGUUUUUUAAGAGGAGCCGCAGACAGGAAUGGGGAAAGAAAAAUGAGAUCAGUCAAUAGGAAGACAAAUGAAAAACACAGUAAUGCCACUGGCGAACAAAUACAAUAUGUAACGCUCGAAAGAGAAUCUUCUUUGAGUUUUUGAGAAAAUAUAAUUCUUAAGUUUAAAUAACAAUUAUAUGUAUCUAACUAUAUUUUUUAUAUCUAAUAGUUUAUGAAUACAUUAUAUGGUUUCUAAGCGAAAUAAAGAAGUUUAGUUUAU